rnacentral:lncRNA from 1 species
AUUGGCGGGUUCCGGGACUGGUGGCUGCGGUAGCUCAUUGGCCUUUGGUCUCUUAGACGGUGGAGAAUAAUCAUCAUCUUGAAAAAGAAAAUGGUCAUUACUGGAAGAACCAUCUUACAGUUACAGUCACCUCCUGGUCAAUUCCCAACAUUCAAAAGCUAAAGAAACAGGCUCAGAGGAUGUUAUUUGAUUGGACUAUGUUGUAUCUCUGGAGAGCACAGCUGAGAUCAGACUGUGUGUGUGUAACUCCACUAGACUACGAGGGUGCUUCUCAUAAAGGGUUGCAAGAUCAUAGUUCUCGGGGUGUUUAAAGGCAACACCUUCCGGAAGCCCCUGCACUACCACAGCCGACUGGUCUCGCAGCAUCUUCUCAUAUGGUACAGGUACCACUGUGGAUUUGCCUAAAGCUUUCCCUGGGGCAGAUGAAAAGCGGAUGAACAUCAUUCAAUGUGCAGGCCUACCCAACUAUGGAAUGAUGGAACAGAAGGCCUCACCAUGGACUCGAGAGCUGACAUGAGGAAUGUCACCACCAUCCUGCUCUCCGAGGACUCCUCAUCUUCAACGGGGAGGGUGGACAUUGCAACUUGGGCCAUGAUCCCUGUGCAGGAGAAGUAAGAAGAAAGUGAGUGGUAGAAAUCUGGUGUCCUGAACCCACAGCCAAAGCUGUGAGGGCCCCUCACCGGCUGCCUAAUUUACAGUUUUCUUGCUCUAGAGACAAAAUAAGGCUCAGAAACUAAGUAUUUGACUUGCCCAAACCCUCAUAAGAUAAAGAAUCUAUCCCCUAAUUUUCUAUAUAUUGUUAUUUCCAGAAAAUUGGGUCAAUAUCACACCCCAAAUAAAUCCAGGUGGCACCCAGAA